CCUACGGGAGGCAGCAGUGGGGAAUCUUGCGCAAUGGGCGAAAGCCUGACGCAGCCAUGCCGCGUGUAUGAUGAAGGUCUUAGGAUUGUAAAAUACUUUCACCGGUGAAGAUAAUGACUGUAGCCGGAGAAGAAGCCCCGGCUAACUUCGUGCCAGCAGCCGCGGUAAUACGAAGGGGGCUAGCGUUGCUCGGAAUUACUGGGCGUAAAGGGAGCGUAGGCGGACAUUUAAGUCAGAGGUGAAAUCCCGGAGCUUAACUUCGGAACUGCCUUUGAUACUGGGUGUCUUGAGUGUGAGAGAGGUAUGUGGAACUCCGAGUGUAGAGGUGAAAUUCGUAGAUAUUCGGAAGAACACCAGUGGCGAAGGCGACAUACUGGCUCAUUACUGACGCUGAGGCUCGAAAGCGUGGGGAGCAAACAGGAUUAGAUACCCUGGUAGUCCACGCCGUAAACGAUGAUUGCUAGUUGUCGGGAAGCUUGCUUCUCGGUGACGCAGCUAACGCAUUUAAAGNAAUCCGCCGUCGGGAGGUACGGUCGCGAAGAAGUUAAAACGUUUAAAAUUAAGUUAAGUUAGUACGGCGUUGAGAGUUGCCGAGGACGACGACGAGGGGAGGAGG
rnacentral:rRNA from 1 species